AAGCAUGCCGGAGAUCUCACCCAUUUAAAGUUUGAGAAUAGGUUGAGGUCGUUUCGGCCCCAAGGCCUCUAAUCAUUCGCUUUACCGCAUGAGAUUCUCCUCCGAGCACCAGCUAUCAUGAGGGAAACUUCGGAGGGAACCAGCGACCAGAUGGUUCGAUUAGUCUUUCGCCCCUAUACCCAGCUCUGACGAUCGAUUUGCACGUCAGAAUCGCUACGGACCUCCAUCAGGGUUUCCCCUGACUUCGUCCUGGCCAGGCAUAGUUCACCAUCUUUCGGGUCCCAACGUGUACGCUCUGGGUGCGCCUCUUCUCGCAGUGAGAACGAGACGCCCCGGGAGUGCGGGACGCCGCCACUUGGGCAGACACGUCCAUCCUCCCUCGGUCCGAACUAGUCGGAACUUCAAUUUCAUUGCGCCUUCAGGUUUCACAGAACCGUACGACUCGCGCACAUGUUA
rnacentral:rRNA from 1 species